rnacentral:lncRNA from 1 species
GUUCCCGGGGGCGGACACAAACUUGCUCGGGAGAGGUUGGCACCUAGGUGUCGCGGUUCCUAAGCCCACCAAAGGGACUGAGUCUCAGAGCGUAACGUCAGACCCAGUUUGCCUUCUGGGGAAAGCUGGCCCAAGUGAGUCACCCAAUCCAUCCAUCGUGCCCGAGGGAUUACUACCAGAGUGGAGAAGUGUCAGGGCCAGGACCUGGAAGUUUCAUCUCUCCGGUACUCUAGCCCACGAGAAGUCAGGUUGGUCUAACCGACCUAAACCUUGGACAGGUACUUGGUGCCUUCAUAGUCUUCUUUGAAAGGCAGAUAGAAGUGCAAUAAUUGCUUGGCUUUCACACCGUCUUUGGACAAGGCUCUCCAUAACAGGAUUCAGUCGUGUGUUGCAGCACUGCUUCUAAGGAUAAAAGCCAGGAAACAAUCGACUCUUGGAUUUGUAAGAGACUGAGGAUAUACAAGGGCAGGAAUCUCCAAGAUGAAUAAUAAAGGAAAGCAGAAAAGGAGUUUAUAUAAGAGACAUUUACAUAUGAUAAAAGAAGCAAGCCAGCAACGGUAAAAUCACACCAAAACUACGAAGGGGAAGGGAAGGGUCAAGGCAGGGACGGGAAUGGCUGAGCACUGCAGGCAGGAGAGGAGAGCCUUUGAGGUCUUCACCUGAGAGCCCUCAAGCUUUGGGAGCAAAUUAUCUAUCUUAAAAAUUAGGUAUUAGGACAACAGCAGAGUAGCUUUGAUGCAAUCAUUUCUCAAUUACACUGUACAA